rnacentral:rRNA from 1 species
GGUUAAGUUAGAAAGGGCGCACGGUGGAUGCCUUGACACUAGGAGUCGAUGAAGGACGGGACUAACGCCGAUAUGCUUCGGGGAGCUGUAAGUAAGCUUUGAUCCGAAGAUUUCCGAAUGGGGAAACCCACCAUACGUAAUGGUAUGGUAUCCUUAUCUGAAUACAUAGGGUAAGGAAGACAGACCCAGGGAACUGAAACAUCUAAGUACCUGGAGGAAGAGAAAGCAAAUGCGAUUUCCUGAGUAGCGGCGAGCGAAACGGAACAUAGCCCAAACCAAGAGGCUUGCCUCUUGGGGUUGUAGGACAUUCUAUACGGAGUUACAAAGGAACGAGGUAGACGAAGCGACCUGGAAAGGUCCGUCGUAGAGGGUAACAACCCCGUAGUCGAAACUUCGUUCUCUCUUGAAUGUAUCCUGAGUACGGCGGAACACGUGAAAUUCCGUCGGAAUCUGGGAGGACCAUCUCCCAAGGCUAAAUACUCCCUAGUGAUCGAUAGUGAACCAGUACCGUGAGGGAAAGGUGAAAAGCACCCCGGAAGGGGAGUGAAAGAGAUCCUGAAACCGUGUGCCUACAAAUAGUCAGAGCCCGUUAACGGGUGAUGGCGUGCCUUUUGUAGAAUGAACCGGCGAGUUACGAUCCCGUGCGAGGUUAAGCUGAAGAGGCGGAGCCGCAGCGAAAGCGAGUCUGAAUAGGGCGUUUAGUACGUGGUCGUAGACCCGAAACCAGGUGAUCUACCCAUGUCCAGGGUGAAGUUCAGGUAACACUGAAUGGAGGCCCGAACCCACGCACGUUGAAAAGUGCGGGGAUGAGGUGUGGGUAGCGGAGAAAUUCCAAUCGAACCUGGAGAUAGCUGGUUCUCCCCGAAAUAGCUUUAGGGCUAGCCUUAAGUGUAAGAGUCUUGGAGGUAGAGCACUGAUUGGACUAGGGGUCCUCAUCGGAUUACCGAAUUCAGUCAAACUCCGAAUGCCAAUGACUUAUCCUUAGGAGUCAGACUGCGAGUGAUAAGAUCCGUAGUCAAAAGGGAAACAGCCCAGACCGCCAGCUAAGGUCCCAAAGUGUGUAUUAAGUGGAAAAGGAUGUGGAGUUGCUUAGACAACUAGGAUGUUGGCUUAGAAGCAGCCACCAUUUAAAGAGUGCGUAAUAGCUCACUAGUCGAGUGACUCUGCGCCGAAAAUGUACCGGGGCUAAAUACACCACCGAAGCUGCGGAUUGAUACCAAUGGUAUCAGUGGUAGGGGAGCGUUCUAAGGACAGUGAAGUCAGACCGGAAGGACUGGUGGAGUGCUUAGAAGUGAGAAUGCCGGUAUGAGUAGCGAAAGACGGGUGAGAAUCCCGUCCACCGAAUGCCUAAGGUUUCCUGAGGAAGGCUCGUCCGCUCAGGGUUAGUCAGGACCUAAGCCGAGGCCGACAGGCGUAGGCGAUGGACAACAGGUUGAUAUUCCUGUACCACCUCUUUAUCGUUUGAGCAAUGGAGGGACGCAGAAGGAUAGAAGAAGCGUGCGAUUGGUUGUGCACGUCCAAGCAGUUAGGCUGAUAAGUAGGCAAAUCCGCUUAUCGUAAAGGCUGAGCUGUGAUGGGGAAGCUCCUUAUGGAGCGAAGUCUUUGAUUCCCCGCUGCCAAGAAAAGCUUCUAGCGAGAUAAAAGGUGCCUGUACCGCAAACCGACACAGGUAGGCGAGGAGAGAAUCCUAAGGUGUGCGAGAGAACUCUGGUUAAGGAACUCGGCAAAAUGACCCCGUAACUUCGGGAGAAGGGGUGCUUUCUUAACGGAAAGCCGCAGUGAAUAGGCCCAAGCGACUGUUUAGCAAAAACACAGCUCUCUGCGAAGCCGUAAGGCGAAGUAUAGGGGGUGACACCUGCCCGGUGCUGGAAGGUUAAGGAGAGGGGUUAGCGUAAGCGAAGCUCUGAACUGAAGCCCCAGUAAACGGCGGCCGUAACUAUAACGGUCCUAAGGUAGCGAAAUUCCUUGUCGGGUAAGUUCCGACCCGCACGAAAGGUGUAACGAUUUGGGCACUGUCUCAACCAGAGACUCGGUGAAAUUAUAGUACCUGUGAAGAUGCAGGUUACCCGCGACAGGACGGAAAGACCCCGUGGAGCUUUACUGUAGCCUGAUAUUGAAUUUUGGUACAGUUUGUACAGGAUAGGCGGGAGCCUUUGAAACCGGAGCGCUAGCUUCGGUGGAGGCGCU